GCCAGCAGACAGUACAACUGGGAGAACAAUCCAAAGGGGCUACACAGAGCUUCAAUCCAGUUAUAAAGCCUGUACAGUGCAGAGUCUGCAAACAACAGAAAAUAAAUCUGAGACUAAGGCCAAAAAAGGUGAGAGACUGGAAGAAAAGUGAGUCAGCCAGAACCGCAGGAAGAACUGAAGACCAGGCCUGGGAAAGACAGGAGCCAGGAGAUUGCUGAACUCUGAGUAGCCUGUUUUAGGGCUCUGUCUUUGGAAUGAUUCAGCUGCCUCUGCCUUUAACCCUUGUGUGACUAACCUGGGAUUCUCAAGAGAGUCUGAAUGGCCCCAGCUGGGGCACACGACAAGUGGAGGAGUAGGUGAAGGGCACCCUGAUGCACACGCCCACCAGGACCACAGAGAUUGGAAAAGAAAGAAGAGUAUAGAAAUGGAUGAAUGGCUAAUGAACAAACAAGUGAAGGAACACUGCCUUAUUUAUGCAAAUUUUAGUCUUCUCUAGUCCUCAGGGGUGAACUCUAUUUUCAUGUGGGACUUCAAGCCUCUCACUGUGGAGAUCCCCAGGAGUUUUCUACAGUCUCUCUUCUGCUUGUGAAUGAAGUCUGCCUGCUAGAUCGAUCAACUAAAUGUGUUGGUCCCACAUUGUGAAUAAUCGGUACACCAUCAACAGCAGAAUGGAUGGACACAAGGUAGUCUGUUCACUCUAUGGAUAUGCUGUAGAGAUACUCUCUCUAUAUGCCUUAGAGCAAUCACAUGGAUGAAUCUCACAGGACUGGGUUAUCUUGAUGAUCAAGAGCAUCUGUAACAUAUCUGGGAUAUAGAAGAAAUCCAAAAGAAGAUGCUCCGUUUCCCCUCACCCUGCUCUUUUUGUCUCUGCUAGCUUGUAUCACCUAUCACAGCAUAAGCUCUAUACACUCAUUGUUGGUUUUGUUCAGUGAUGAAUUCCAAAUGCCUAAAAUAAAUGCCCGCAACACUGUAAA